rnacentral:rRNA from 1 species
GUUGUUUUCUCGAAAAUCAAUUAAAAAGAGUUGGAUUUUGUAUUGUUAAGACCUUAUCAGCUUACUGUACUUUUUUCUUGAUUCUUUUUAAUGCACUUUUCGUUUAACAAGUCAACAUCAAUUUCUUUUGUUGUAAAAGGGUCAUUGGAAGGUGGCUUUCACUUCGGUGAAAGUGUUUAUAGCCUUUGGCUUCUACAAUCGGAGAGAUUGAGGUCUGCAGCGUAGAUCCUUCGGGGUUAGAUACGUAGAUGCUAAGUUAUAGUUUUUUAUAGACAACUUGUUGACUAUGAUUAAUCAUGUAGCUUACUCGUUUGCGCUAUUUUACCUAC